AGGGGCGAAAAGGCUAUAAAACAGCCUUGGGAGCAGGAGGUCGAGUGUUCGAAUCACUCCGCCCCGACCA
rnacentral:tRNA from 1 species